rnacentral:RNase_P_RNA from 2 species
GCAUAUAGCUGACAGCUGCUUAUAAAGUAGAGGAAAGUCCGUGCUAGCACCACCUGCAAUGGUGGUAGUGAUUGCGCUUAGCCCAAUAAGCUAUGGAUAUAAGGAAACUUAUAGACGACUAGUGCCACAGAGACGAGAGAAAUGAAACGGGUAAACUCCGCAAGCUAGAAACUCAAAUUUUGGUAGAGGAAUUCAAGCUAAGAACUCAAUGAAGCUUGGAAAUAUCUAUUUAUAGAUAUUAGAUAAAUUGUCAGCACUGUAGUAAUACAGAACAGAACACGGCUUAUGAUG